AACAGCAGCUGUUGAUUGGGGCAUAU
rnacentral:piRNA from 1 species